AUUGAACGCUGGCGGCAUGCCUUACACAUGCAAGUCGAACGGCAGCACGGGUGCUUGCACCUGGUGGCGAGUGGCGAAGGGGUGAGUAAUACAUCGGAACAUGUCCUGUAGUGGGGGAUAGCCCGGCGAAAGCCGGAUUAAUACCGCAUACGAUCUACGGAUGAAAGCGGGGGACCUUCGGGCCUCGCGCUAUAGGGUUGGCCGAUAACUGAUUAGCUAGUUGGUGGGGUAAAGGCUUACCAAGGCGACGAUCAGUAGCUGGUCUGAGAGGACGACCAGCCACACUGGGACUGAGACACGGCCCAGACUCCUACGGGAGGCAGCAGUGGGGAAUUUUGGACAAUGGGCGAAAGCCUGAUCCAGCAAUGCCGCGUGUGUGAAGAAGGCCUUCGGGUUGUAAAGCACUUUUGUCCGGAAAGAAAUCCUUGGCUCUAAUACAGUCGGGGGAUGACGGUACCGGAAGAAUAAGCACCGGCUAACUACGUG
rnacentral:rRNA from 1 species